ACGUAGGGUGCAAGCGUUAAUCGGAAUUACUGGGCGUAAAGCGUGCGCAGGCGGUUGUGCAAGACAGAUGUGAAAUCCCCGGGCUUAACCUGGGAACUGCAUUUGUGACUGCACGGCUAGAGUGUGUCAGAGGGGGGUAGAAUUCCACGUGUAGCAGUGAAAUGCGUAGAUAUCAUGAGGAAUACCAGAGGCGAAGGCGGCUACCUGGACAAUUGCUGACGCUCAGGCAUGAAAGCGUGGGGAGCAAAAGGGA
rnacentral:rRNA from 1 species